AACGCACAUUGCGCCCGCCAGUAUUCUGGCGGGCAUGCCUGUUCGAGCGUCAUUUCAACCCUCAAGCCCAGCUUGGUGUUGGGGAUCGGCACAAGGCGCCCCCGGGCGCCCGCCGUCCCCUAAAUCUAGUGGCGGUCCCGCUGCAGCCUCCUCUGCGUAGUAGUUCUCUCCUCGCAAGGGCAGCUCGGCGGCGACCUCGCCGUAAAACCCCCAACUUCUGAAAGGUUGACCUCGAAUCAGGUAGGAAUACCCGCUGAACUUAA
rnacentral:misc_RNA from 1 species